rnacentral:lncRNA from 1 species
CGCGGAGUCGUGGCGGUCGGCGGCUGGCUGACCAGAGAAAUAUGUUCUUGGCCUUGUGGCGUGGGGACGGGAGGAAGAAGACGAGAGGGGGCUUUGAUUGGCGUCAAUGGAAGGGUGCAGAUAGAGAGGGAGAGAGAGAGAGAGAUUCCAAUUCCAGCAGCAGGAGAAAGCUCCUCUCACGCAGCCGUGGUGCCGACUGAAUCGUACCUGCGGAAAGUUUGGGUGAUCUCCGCCUCCCCUUUUCUGGCUUCUCCUUGUCUUUCGAAACCUAGAUGCGUUUUCUCCUCGGGCCCUUUUUUCCUGGAUCCGCCUUUGCUCUUGAAGGGAAUUGAGAUGGCGAGUGAGGUGAAAUCUCACGGCGGCGGCCGUCUCCUCCCCUCAAUCCAUCCACUGUUCCCGCAAUUCUCUGCUAGAAAAUGUUACUCUUCUCCUUGAAAAUUGUUUCGCCGGCAAAUUAGCUUGCGAAGGUGGAAAUCCUCCCACUCGGAAACUCCUUCCAUCCUGCGAGAAUUUCUUCGCCUGCAGUUUUUCAUCAUUUGAAGUCAGAAUUCGACUGCGAUUUGUUUCGAUACGGAAAAUAAGAAAUUAUUUGUCAAUUUUUUGUUUGAUAUCCUCGUAAUUUCCCCAAAACCAUCAGUUCUAUUGGUUUUCCUUUUGGACUGUAGCUCGUUCCUGGAAUAUUGGGUUUUGGUGCUGUUUUACUGUCCUCUUCCCCUCUUUUCCUUUCGCCGUCCUUCUUCCUGUUGGAUUCCGACUGUGCUCCCCAGGCUGUGUGUGGAUCGGGUGAUGAACCUCUUGAUUCUCGCCGCUGACGCCAAGAACUGAUUGAUCCGUGAAGCAAGUUACACCCAGCCCCGGUUCAUCUUGCUCCUCUUUCCUAUUGGAACCUAUUCCAGCGCCCACUUCUUCUGUGAGCUUCAGAGGCUUCACUGUGGAGCUCCUCCAAUUUCAUGCCACUGCCUCUGAGAAGCUGCUGCGCUGGCCGUUGAGAACAUCAACCUCCUGAGAACCAUUUGGACGGAGGGUCCAGGGGCGUCCUGCAAUCUGGUCGCGCAGGGUCGCCCGUCUACACAGUCUUAUGGAAGACUGCCCGCCUGUCGUACCUCUGCACAGAGAAGGAGAGGGGAUCGGAGUCGGCAACAAAAAUCUUAACAGAUCGGACUCUCUUGAGACCGUGACUAAAGAGAUGGCGCCCAUAGCCUCAGCUCUCACCAUCGAAUUCUCGGGUGAGAGACUUGCGGAGAGCAUGGGAAUCAGAGAUGUGGAAGAGUGGCUCGAUGCUGUGCAAGAAAAGAUACUGAACUGGGAUUCGGAGGGGUCCUUGGCGUGGUACUCUGAACCAGUGGAGACCCCUG